rnacentral:rRNA from 1 species
AUGCUCGCCAAGCAAUUACCAAUAUGUCCUAAAGCCAUAAUUUGUUUGAUCCACAUCAACCCGCUGAACCAGUCAAUUCUCCAGAUCAACGUGGAUGGAAGUAUGAAGGAAAAUCCUACCCAUGGUGGAUGGGGUUUCAUGAUCAGAGACCAUGCCGGUCGGCCAGUUGGUGCUGGCGCUGGACAUAUGCAAUAUGUCAGUGACCCCCUCUAUGCUGAAGCUACAGCGUGCCUCCAAAGCUUGUAUGCAGCUCAAGGCUGGGGAAUGUCAAGAGUACAUGUGUUGUCAGAUUCCAAGACCCUAGUACAAGCGGCUACCUCCAAUGAUCAUGAUUUGUCAACAAACGGGAAUCUUUUCAAGGAAAUUAGAUGUUUUGCAAGUUUAAAUUUCACCCAUGUGGGGUUCUCUUACUGCCCCAGAGCGUGUAAUAAGGUUGCUGACGCUUUAGCACAUUUGGUGCAGACUCAAGGCUUGUAUCCCCAGCUAUGUGGCCGGAACAAGCUCCUGAUUUCGUGUAUGGUCUUGUAG